UUGACAAUUUUCAAAAAAUUAUUUCAAAAAUCUCCAAACUGUUCCAAUCGAUUAUAUCAGAAAUUUCCAUUUCAAAUCCAAAAUUUUCCGUUUCAAAGUAAGAAUUUUCUAUUUCAAGUUCAGAAUUUUGUCAAAUUUUUGUAACGAAUUAAAUUUUCAUUUUCUGAAAAUGGACGCCGGGUGGGUCACCCCAAGGGCACUUGGCACAGAACAGGCGAGGCGCAUUUCAGUUUUCUUAAGGAUUGAGCCGAGGUAUUUUGAAAAAUGUAUGAGCGCCCGAAGACCUCAAGAUUCAAAUUAAGAAUAAAAAAAUCGGCGGUAUUUGGCUCUAUAGCUUUCUGUAGAACUUUUUCUAGAAUGAAGAAAUUCUAUUCAAAAAAUUAAAAAUACAACUCCGAACAAGUGAACCAAAUGUUUAGAAAUACAGCUCUAGCUUUUCACAAAAUCAUUGACAGUAAACAUUAAAACGAAAUUAUAAAGA